AGAUUUAACUGAUGUAAUUUCUCCCUGGAACGCAAGCCACCCCAAAAUGGGCAGGGAGCCAUGACCCAGCACUUUCUAGGGUUCGUGCUAGAGUGGUUCAGCUCAGUCAUAGGCAUAUGCCUACUAGGCGCAACCUGGUCUUCAGAAAGGAGGUUGACAACAUGUCAGCUUCUCAUCCACACCAGUCAUACACCUGAUAGCUGAAGAUCACAUUUGUCACUGCCUCCUCCAACAAAAAAUGUCAUUUGAUGCAGGAGCAAACUUGUCAUCACCUCAAGCUGACCAUGUGAAUCCUUUUCCCAGCUUCAUGCUCAGAAAUUUCAUGACACAGUAGAGAUUUACACAUGUAGGACAGGAACACAGGGAUGAAACAAGCCAGCUCUUUAUUUUCACUAAUGUUCUUUCCUUUUUGCUGCCUUCUCCCAGGUUUGAUGGGAGCCCUUGGGAAUCUACAUGUAAGCAAUACUCAUGUCUUCAUUCUGCUGCCAGCUUCUCUCAGCCUUCCCCUCCACUGUAAAUCAACGCGGGGAGAGAAAUAAAUGAAGAAUGGGGGAAAUGCCUCUUGGGAAACUGACUUUGUGGAGCAAGGUCUGCCAAUGGAUAACCCGACCUUGUGCAUAUAAUUUUGGAAUUAGUAUUUGCCAGGAUUCUACACAAUGUCCCUGUUCUGUUUUUAUAAGCAUCUGAUUGCAUGGAACACAAGCUUUUAUAUCUUUUUCUAGGCCACAUUUCUAUUUUGUAAUAUGUUUCGAAUCAAAGGGAAAAAGCAAUCUCACACAAUCAAGCUAGAGCUGCCAUUAGAUGAUUCAUUCUCUUUCAAAGAGGAUUACCGGUCAAAGCCACCCAAAAACAACCUCAGGAUGAUCUUGCAAUUUUGCAGGGAGGAUAUGCCUAAAAAGAGUUAAGCAGGCCUGCAAGAUUAGUCAGCAACACCUGUUUUACUGUCUACAUAUUCAGUUCUCUAUUACCGCUGCCCCUAAUCCCUCUCUUUUUCCUCCUCUUUAAAAAAUUAUGAGUUUGGCACAGUAACACCAAACAAGUGCAUUCCAAGAGUUGAACAAUUUGGUAUACUUAAUAGGUACCUACUCCCAUUAUAAAUUAUGUAUACUGUAUGAAAACAUAGGGCAUUCUUCUCUCACUUACACUAGUGUAAAUCAGGAAUAACUCUGUGGAAGUCAGUGGAGUUACACUAACGUACGUGAGAGAAGAAUCUACCCCAAUGUAGCUACCAGAGUUGCCAACUCUAAUGAUUUAUUGUGAGUCACCUGAUGUUUGAUUUUUUUUUAGCUCCUGGGGUCAUGUUAUUUUGUGAAAAUAUCAGCUUUCAUUUACUAUUUAAAAAAUUAAGUCUGCAGGGGAAAGCUUGAAUAUGCAAACACUUGACUAAAAAAAACCAGAAGAACCCCCACAUUUUAUAUUGUUUAAAAUCUCAUUAGUUUGAAGCCAAUUGCAUGAUUUUGCAGGGGCCUAAACACUUGGGGUUGCAACACUGAGCUUCCCUUCAAUAAGGCAGGUGUACGUGAUAGGUAAGACAGACCAAUAAGGAACACACAGGCACAUAAGUUGACCAGACAGCAAGUGUGAAAGAUUGGAACUGGGUGGGGGUAAUAGGAGCCUAUACAGGAAAAAGACCCAAAAAUCGGGACAGUCCCUAUAAAAUCGGGACAUCUGGUCAUCCUACAUGCACAGAACAUUAUGCAUUAGUCUAUUGUCCAGUCUGGUUGUCCUCUAAAUAGUAUCUGAAAUUCUAUAUAAUGAAUUUUGUGUCUAUACAUCCUCAGCUCCAUGCCAGUGUCAAUAUGUCUGCUUGUAGUAACACGGCAUGUUGUGAUCGAUAUUAUUUAAAAGAUGAAUUGGUCACAGAGAACUUGAUGAAGGCUGGAAAGAUUGAGGGAGCAGAUAAUGCUUGCAUCAGAGAAGCUGUAAGAGAUGGGAAAUUUUACUUAUUUGGGCAGCUGAGCACAGCAGAUGGCAAGAUCUUAGGGGAAAUAAACACAAAGUUUGGGAAAGCAAGCAGUGUGUUCUAGCCAUUGUCAAUGAGCUCCUACAGUAGAAAAAAAAAUCAGUCAGAAAUUAAAUAUCAAACAGGCCCUUGGCAGACAGAAAAGGUAGGACAGAGGAGGUUGAUGGGUUUCAAGGGCCAGCAUUUGAAAAAUAAUUGUAUGGAUCAGAUGGUAUUACUACUUUAGCAACCAGGAGAUUUGAACAGAGGUCCAUCAAUUAUGGGUCAAAGUGCAUUCAACUAGAAAACUCAGCUAAAUGUGUAUCUGCCAGGCCUAUAGGCUUGGUCUACA